AUUGAACGCUGGCGGCAGGCCUAACACAUGCAAGUCGAGCGGAUGAAGGGAGCUUGCGCCUGGAGUCAGCGGCGGAAGGGGGAGUAAUGCCUAGGAAUCUGCCGGGUAGUGGGGGAUAACGUCCGGAAACGGGCGCUAAUACCGCAUACGACGUGAGGGAGAAAGUGGGGGAGGUUUGGACCGCACGCUAUCAGAGGAGCCUAGGCCGGAUUAGCUAGUUGGUGGGGGAAAGGCCUACCAAGGCGACGAUCGGUAACUGGUCGGAGAGGAUGAGCAGUCACCCUGGAACUGAGACACGGUCCUGACUCCUGCGGGAGGCCGCAGUGGGGAAUAUUGGACAAUGGGCGAAAGCCUUAUCCAGCCAUGCCGCGUGUGUUGCGACGGUCUUCGGAUUGUAAAGCACUUUAAGUUGUGAGGAAGGGCAGUCACUUAAUACCUUGCUGUUUUGACGUUACCAACAGAAUAAGCACCGGCUAACUUCGUG
rnacentral:rRNA from 1 species